AGGACAUGCUUCAGAAGGGUCUGUGGGGUCCUCUAAUCCAGCACCUUCAUUUUCAGCUUAGGAAAACGAGGGCCCAAGAGGCAGGAACCAGCUUGGAGCCACACGGCUGCCACCUGUGGAGGGCAGAGCCCAGUGGUUAAGAGCAGGGCUACCGUGUCCGCCAGUCAUUCAUGGUCCUCAGUGAAACACCGGUCCCCGGCCCUGGCUGGGGACAGUAAGGACAUCACCGCAGGAGGGACACUGAAGAGGCUGUCGAGGACUGCAGAGGCAUCUGGUGUGGCCAGAGGCGUGGUGUCAGGGGCAUCUGAUCCCUUGCCUGUUCCCACCCAGGGAGCC
rnacentral:lncRNA from 10 species